rnacentral:lncRNA from 1 species
AUGUAAGCAUAAGAUACCCAAGCCAGAAACAGCAACCCUUCCAGGUCCCCUUCCCCCACGUGGAAGCUUUCCUUUCACUUUCGCUUUAAUAAAUCUUGCCGCAGCACACUCUCUAAUCGAGCUGUAACACUCGCCACUGCCGUCCACGGCUUCAUUCCUUGAAGCCGUGAGACCACGAACCCUUCGAUUGAGAAGAACCUUCGGUCGGAAGAAGACUUCUCGUCUCAGUAACAAUAACAAGAAAAACAGCCUAGACUAGACGCACAUCAGGAAGACAGGUACCCAGCAUAACCCCAUUGAAGAGCUGUUCCCUGGGACCUGGAGAGGAACACAGCAGGCUGCCAUGCCCACUGCACCUGCAGCCGCAGAAUAAACAUGUGGAGAAGGUCAUUGAUCACCUUGACUGAAGCACUGCAGACAAGAUAAAGACAGCCUGAUGCAGAGGAAGAUUGAGGACUAAGGGGCUUCAUCCACAGUUAAUCCCGUCAUGUAUUGACCCGGAAACAUCAUCUCAUUUGCCUAUAAGACAGAGAGAGAGAAUGAUAGAA